rnacentral:rRNA from 1 species
UACGAAGGGGGCUAGCGUUGCUCGGAAUCACUGGGCGUAAAGGGUGCGUAGGCGGGUCUUUUAAGUCAGGGGUGAAAUCCUGGAGCUCAACUCCAGAACUGCCUUUGAUACUGAGGAUCUUGAGUUCGGGAGAGGUGAGUGGAACUGCGAGUGUAGAGGUGAAAUUCGUAGAUAUUCGCAAAGAACACCAGUGGCGAAGGCGGCUCACUGGCCCGAUACUGACGCUGAGGCACGAAAAG